rnacentral:misc_RNA from 1 species
GAUGAAGAACGUAGCGAAAUGCGAUAAGUAAUGUGAAUUGCAGAAUUCAGUGAAUCAUCGAAUCUUUGAACGCACAUUGCGCCCCUUGGUAUUCCGAGGGGCAUGCCUGUUCGAGCGUCAUUUCAACCCUCAAGCCCAGCUUGGUGUUGGGGAUCGGCACAGGCGCCCUCGGGCGCCCGCCGUCCCCUAAAUCUAGUGGCGGUCCCGCUGCAGCCUCCUCUGCGUAGUAGUUUUCUCCUCGCAAGGGCAGCUCGGUGGCGACCUCGCCGUAAAACCCCCAACUUCUGAAAGGUUGACCUCGAAUCAGGUAGGAAUACCCGCUGAACUUAAGCAUAUCAAUAAGCGGAGGA